UACGUAGGGACCAAGCGUUGUUCGGAUUUACUGGGCGUAAAGGGCGCGUAGGCGGCGUGGUAAGUCACUUGUGAAAUCUCUGAGCUUAACUCAGAACGGCCAAGUGAUACUGCUGUGCUAGAGUGCAGAAGGGGCAAUCGGAAUUCUUGGUGUAGCGGUGAAAUGCGUAGAUAUCUGAAGGAACAUCAGUGGCGAAAAGCGACUUCCUGGACCAAUACUGACGCUCAUGUGCAAAAGCGUGGGGAGCAAACAGG
rnacentral:rRNA from 1 species